rnacentral:rRNA from 1 species
AUACGGAAGGUCCGGGCGUUAUCCGGAUUUAUUGGGUUUAAAGGGAGCGCAGGCGGAGAUGCAAGCGUGACGUCAAAUUUCGGGGCUCAACCCCGUCUCGCGUCGCGAACUGCGUCCCUUGGUUGCGGGAAGGGGAGGCGGAACUCGUGGUGUAGCGGUGGAAUGCAUAGAUAUCACGAAGAACUCCGAUCGCGAAGGCAGCCUUCCGGCCCGUCAACGACGCUCAUGCUCGAAGGUGCGGGUAUCAAACAGGAUUAGAUACCCUGGUAGUCCGCACAGUAAACGAUGGACACCCGCGGUUUGGCCUGUAUGGCUGAGCCGCCAAGCGAAAGCGUUAAGUGUCCCACCUGGGGAGUACGCCGGCAACGGUGAAACUCAAAUGAAUUGGCGGGG